GAACAUCUGCAAUGCACAGAGCGCAAUCAAAUUAUCGAUAAAUCAAUUGCUGGCAAGACAUCAAACGGGAGGAGAAAAAAAAAGAACACGUGCACAGCGCUAAUUGAUGCAAUAUGGAAUUUGAUUUCCAUUUCAGUUCAUAUUAAAUCAUUGAUAAGAGCACGGCGACCCCCUGCCGGUGCGGGCUAUCUAUAGCAAGGCGCGAGAACAAGUCUUCCAGAACAAAUCAUUUAUGUAACCAGGCCGAGCCCCCCACCCCUCCCCCUUCGAAAGUGACCUGCUGCAAUGUUUAGGGCUGUUAUGAAAUGUGGGCCAAGUGCAUGGACCUUCCAUAUACCCAAGAAAUGUAAAGUCCAAUAACAAAACAUGCACUGUUCCCGCAUAGCAAUUGUGAAAUCGGACGAAUAAAGAAAACAUGUGCGUUUGCCGCUGUUACGUGAGUAUAUGUGACUGUGUGUGUGCCGCUGGAAAGUAAAUCCAAUUGGAAAAUCUGCGAUUAUCAAUGGAACGUAAGAGAGAAUGCCCGCACGAAUUGUCAUUGAAGAUUCUAGAAAGAAGCCAGCCGCUCGCUUUGCCGGUUAUCUUAUAUAACACCGCAAUGCACACACACGCGCAAACGCACACACACAACAAUGAUAAUCCAAAUACUUGCGCACACGCGGUUUAUGAACGUUAAAUAAUAAAUUAGCUUGUUUUACUUA